GGGGGGCUGCAGUGGGGAAUAUUGGACAAUGGGGGCAACCCUGAUCCAGCCAUGCCGCGUGAGUGAUGAAGGCCUUAGGGUUGUAAAGCUCUUUCACCGGUGAAGAUAAUGACGGUAACCGGAGAAGAAGCCCCGGCUAACUUCGUGCCAGCAGCCGCGGUAAUACGAAGGGGGCUAGCGUUGUUCGGAUUUACUGGGCGUAAAGCGCACGUAGGCGGAUAUUUAAGUCAGAGGUGAAAUCCCAGGGCUCAACCCUGGAACUGCCUUUGAUACUGGGUAUCUUGAGUAUGGAAGAGGUGAGUGGAAUUCCGAGUGUAGAGGUGAAAUUCGUAGAUAUUCGGAGGAACACCAGUGGCGAAGGCGGCUCACUGGUCCAUUACUGACGCUGAGGUGCGAAAGCGUGGGGAGCAAACAGGAUUAGAUACCCCAG
rnacentral:rRNA from 1 species